AGACGGGGCCCGCACAAGCGGUGGAGCAUGUGGUUUAAUUCGACGCAACGCGAAGAACCUUACCUGGGUUUGACAUCCCGAUCGUACUCUAUGGAAACAUAGGGGUCAGUUCGGCUGGAUCGGUGACAGGUGCUGCAUGGCUGUCGUCAGCUCGUGUCGUGAGAUGUUGGGUUAAGUCCCGCAACGAGCGCAACCCUCGCCUUUAGUUGCCAGCAUUCAGUUGGGCACUCUAGAGGGACUGCCGGUGUCAAACCGGAGGAAGGUGGGGAUGACGUCAAGUCCUCAUGGCCUUUAUGUCUAGGGCUACACACGUACUACAAUGGUCGGUACAGAGGGUUGCUAAGCCGCGAGGUGGAGCCAAUCCCACAAAGCCGAUCGUAGUCCGGAUUGUUCUCUGCAACUCGAGAGCAUGAAGUCGGAAUCGCUAGUAAUCGCAGGUCAGCAUACUGCGGUGAAUACGUUCCCGGGCCUU
rnacentral:rRNA from 1 species